rnacentral:sRNA from 1 species
GGCCUAACCCCAUUGAUAAUUUCGGUGGGUAUGGCUUAGAAAUCCGUCCAAGGUAAAGAACUCCUCGUCAGGAGUACCUUGGACGGUCGUGUCGGGAAACCGGCAUGGAUGGGUUUACACCCAUC